rnacentral:tRNA from 1 species
GGGUGGGUGGCUCAGUGGUUAGAGCCUAUGUCUCUAGCUGAAAGGUUCCGAGUUCGAACCUAGCCAGAGGCA